rnacentral:rRNA from 1 species
AACGAACGCUGGCGGCAUGCCUAACACAUGCAAGUCGAACGAGACCUUCGGGUCUAGUGGCGCACGGGUGCGUAACGCGUGGGAACCUGCCCUUAGGUUCGGAAUAACUCCCCGAAAGGGGUGCUAAUACCGGAUAAUGUCUUCGGACCAAAGAUUUAUCGCCUUUGGAUGGGCCCGCGUUGGAUUAGCUAGUUGGUAGGGUAAAAGCCUACCAAGGCGACGAUCCAUAGCUGGUCUGAGAGGAUGAUCAGCCACACUGGGACUGAGACACGGCCCAGACACCUACGGGAGGCCGCAGUAGGGAGUAGUGGAAAAUGGACGAAAGACUAAUAAAGCAACGCAGCGUGAAUGAUGCAGGCCUUAGGGUUGGACAGCUAUUUUAACCGAGACGAUGAUGACAGAACCGGGAGAAUAAGCGCCGGCAAACUCCGUG